UGGGCAACCUGCCCCUCUCUCUGGGAUAACCCCCGGGAAACCGGAGCUAAUACCGGAUACUCCGGCUGGAUCGCAUGGUCCGGCCCGGGAAAGGUCCGCCGGAGAGGGAUGGGCCCGCGGCCUAUCAGCUUGUUGGUGGGGUCAUGGCCCACCAAGGCGGCGAUCAGUAGCUGGUCUGAGAGGAUGACCAGCCACACUGGGACUGAGACACGGCCCAGACCUCCGUACGGGAGCA
rnacentral:rRNA from 1 species